UACGUAGGGUGCGAGCGUUACUCGGAAUUACUGGGCGUAAAGCGUGCGCAGGCGGUUCGUUGUGUCGGCGGUGAAAGCCCCGGGCUUAACCUGGGAACUGCAUUUGGGACUGGUUUGCUAGAGAUCGGGAGAGGAGAGUGGAAUUCCCAGUGUAGAGGUGAAAUUCGUAGAUAUUGGGAAGAACACCGGUGGCGAAGGCGGCUCUCUGGACCGAUACUGACGCUGAGGCGCGAAAGCGUGGGGAGCAAACAGG
rnacentral:rRNA from 1 species